AAUUACGCACCCCUGUCGCGCAGCCUGCGGUCUAAUCAGUUUGUGGUCGUGAGAAGACUAACAUCUCAGCAACUAACUUCGAUGUACUCAAACACCGAAAUGGCAGAAGAUAUACCGAUGAAUGAAGCCGACCACGUCGCCGCCGACUAUCGUAGAGGUUAGUUAUAUUUUAAUUUAAUUAAAUUUAA